GGGAAACUGCCUGAUGGAGGGGGAUAACUACUGGAAACGGUAGCUAAUACCGCAUAAUGUCGCAAGACCAAAGAGGGGGACCUUCGGGCCUCUUGCCAUCAGAUGUGCCCAGAUGGGAUUAGCUAGUAGGUGGGGUAAUGGCUCACCUAGGCGACGAUCCCUAGCUGGUCUGAGAGGAUGACCAGCCACACUGGAACUGAGACACGGUCCAGACUCCUACGGGAGGCAGCAGUGGGGAAUAUUGCACAAUGGGCGCAAGCCUGAUGCAGCCAUGCCGCGUGUAUGAAGAAGGCCUUCGGGUUGUAAAGUACUUUCAGCGGGGAGGAAGGCGUUGUGGUUAAUAACCACAGCGAUUGACGUUACCCGCAGAAGAAGCACCGGCUAACUCCGUGCCAGCAGCCGCGGUAAUACGGAGGGUGCAAGCGUUAAUCGGAAUUACUGGGCGUAAAGCGCACGCAGGCGGUCUGUCAAGUCGGAUGUGAAAUCCCCGGGCUCAACCUGGGAACUGCAUUCGAAACUGACAGGCUAGAGUCUUGUAGAGGGGGGUAGAAUUCCAGGU
rnacentral:rRNA from 1 species